GACGAACGCUGGCGGCGUGCCUAAUACAUGCAAGUCGAACGCAGUGGGGACGGGUGAGUAAAACGUGGGUAACCUCCCAUCAGAGGGGAUAACACUUGGAAACAGGUGCUAAACCGAUACUGAUGGAUGGAUCCGCGGUGCAUUAGCUAGUUGGUGAGGUAAAGGCCCACCAAGGCCACGAUGCAUAGCGGCCCGGGAGGGUGGAUCGGCAACACGGGGACUGAGAAACGGCCCAGACUCCUACGGGAGGCAGAAGUAGGGAAUCUUCGGCAAUGGACGAAAGUUGGACCGAGCAACGCCCGGUGAGUGAAGAAGGUUUUCGGAUCGUAAAACUCUGUUGUUGGAGAAGCGGUAUCUAACCAGAAAGCCACGGCUAACUACGUGCCAGCAGCCGCGGUAAUAC
rnacentral:rRNA from 1 species